rnacentral:rRNA from 1 species
UACGUAGGGUGCAAGCGUUAAUCGGAAUUACUGGGCGUAAAGCGUGCGCAGGCGGUGAUGUAAGACAGGUGUGAAAUCCCCGGGCUUAACCUGGGAACUGCAUUUGUGACUGCAUCGCUGGAGUGCGGCAGAGGGGGAUGGAAUUCCGCGUGUAGCAGUGAAAUGCGUAGAUAUGCGGAGGAACACCGAUGGCGAAGGCAAUCCCCUGGGCCUGCACUGACGCUCAUGCACGAAAGCGUGGAGAGCAAACAGG